rnacentral:rRNA from 1 species
AUUGAACGCUGGCGGCAUGCCUUACACAUGCAAGUCGAACGGCAGCACGGGUGCUUGCACCUGGUGGCGAGUGGCGAACGGGUGAGUAAUACAUCGGAACAUGUCCUGUAGUGGGGGAUAGCCCGGCGAAAGCCGGAUUAAUACCGCAUACGAACCACGGAUGAAAGCGGGGGACCUUCGGGCCUAGCGCUAUAGGGUUGGCCGAUGGCUGAUUAGCUAGUUGGUGGGGUAAAGGCCUACCAAGGCGACGAUCAGUAGCUGGUCUGAGAGGACGACCAGCCACACUGGCACUGAGACACGGCCCAGACUCCUACGGGAGGCAGCAGUGGGGAAUUUUGGACAAUGGGCGAAAGCCUGAUCCAGCAAUGCCGCGUGUGUGAAGAAGGCCUUCGGGUUGUAAAGCACUUUUGUCCGGAAAGAAAUCCUUGACUCUAAUACAGUCGGGUGAUGACGGUACCGGAAGAAUAAGCACCGGCUAACUACGUG